UAUGUGAUCGUCUCUCGCAUAUCAAUAAGCGGAGGAAAAGAAACUAACAAGGAUUCCCCUAGUAACGGCGAGUGAAGCGGGAAGAGCUCAAAUUUGAAAUCUUAAAGGGUUUCCCUUUACGAAUUGUAGUUUAAAGAAGUGUUUUCUGUUGAGGUUUUGGUAAAAGUUCUUGGAAUAGGACAUCAUAGAGGGUGAGAAUCCCGUAUUUGACCUUUACUUUCAACUUUGUGAUACACUUUCAAAGAGUCGGAUUGUUUGGGAAUGCAGUCCAAAAUGGGUGGUAAAUUUCAUCUAAAGCUAAAUAUUGGCGAGAGACCGAUAGCGAACAAGUACCGUGAGGGAAAGAUGAAAAGAACUUUGAAAAGAGAGUUAAACAGUACGUGAAAUUGUCAAAAGGGAAGCGUUUGACACCAGUGUUGUUUUUCUGAAAAUCAAUUAAAGAACUGUUUAUGCUAAGCUGUUUAGACUUUAUCAGCUAUCUGUUAGUUUUGAGCUUUUCUUUAAUGCACUUUUCAGUUAACAAGUCAACAUCAAUUUCUUUUGCUGUAAAAAAGCUUGAGGAAGGUGGCUUGAGAUUCGUCCUUAAGUGUUUAUAGCCUCUUGCCUAUGCAGUCGGAGAGAUUGAGGUCUGCAGCGUAGAUCCUUCGGGGCUAAAUGCAUUUGUGCUAAGUUAUAGCAUUUUAUAGACAACUUGUUGACUAUGAUUUGUCUUGUAGCUUACUCGCUUAUGUUAUUUUACCUACGCUUAGGAUGUUGAGUAGCGACAUACGCAC
rnacentral:rRNA from 1 species